UGAUGCAGCGACGCCGCGUGAGGGAUGACGGCCUUCGGGUUGUAAACCUCUUUCAGUAGGGAAGAAGCGGAAGUGACGGUACCUGCAGAAGAAGCACCGGCUAACUACGUGCCAGCAGCCGCGGUAAUACGUAGGGUGCGAGCGUUAUCCGGAAUUAUUGGGCGUAAAGAGCUCGUAGGCGGUUUGUCGCGUCUGUCGUGAAAGUCCGGGGCUUAACCCCGGAUCUGCGGUGGGUACGGGCAGACUAGAGUGCAGUAGGGGAGACUGGAAUUCCUGGUGUAGCGGUGGAAUGCGCAGAUAUCAGGAGGAACACCGAUGGCGAAGGCAGGUCUCUGGGCUGUAACUGACGCUGAGGAGCGAAAGCAUGGGGAGCGAACAGGAUUAGAUACCCUGGUAGUCCAUGCCGUAAACGUUGGGCACUAGGUGUGGGGACCAUUCCACGGUUUCCGCGCCGCAGCUAACGCAUUAAGUGCCCCGCCUGGGGAGUACGGCCGCAAGGCUAAAACUCAAAGGAAUUGACGGGGGCCCGCACAAGCGGCGGAGCAUGCGGAUUAAUUCGAUGCAACGCGAAGAACCUUACCAAGGCUUGACAUGUUUUCGAUCGCCGUGGAGACACGGUUUCCCCUUUGGGGCGGAUUCACAGGUGGUGCAUGGUUGUCGUCAGCUCGUGUCGUGAGAUGUUGGGUUAAGUCCCGCAACGAGCGCAACCCUCGUUCCAUGUUGCCAGCACGUUGUGGUGGGGACUCAUGGGAGACUGCCGGGGUCAACUCGGAGGAAGGUGAGGACGACGUCAAAUCAUCAUGCCCCUU
rnacentral:rRNA from 1 species